CCUACGGGUGGCAGCAGUGGGGAAUAUUGGACAAUGGGGGGAACCCUGAUCCAGCGACGCCGCGUGAGUGAAGAAGUAUUUCGGUAUGUAAAGCUCUAUUAGCAGGGAAGAAAGAAAUGACGGUACCUGACUAAGAAGCCCUGGCUAACUACGGGCCAGCAGCCGCGGUAAUACGUAGGGGGCAGGGGUUAUCCGGAUUUACUGGGUGUAAAGGGAGGGUAGACGGGGAUGCAAGGCUGAAGUGAAAGGGGGGGGCCCAACCUCCGGACUGCCUUUGAAACUGUAUGGCGUGAGUGCAGGAGAGGUAGGUGGAAUUCCUGGUGUAGCGGUGAAAUGCGUAGAUAUUAGGAGGAACACCAGUGGCGAAGGCAGCUUACUGGACUGUAACUGACGUUGAGGCACGAAAGCGUGGGGAGCAAACAGGAUUAGAUACCCGGGUAGUC
rnacentral:rRNA from 1 species